AGGCAGCCGGGACCAGCUGGAGACGGCAGCCAGGCGGGAGUGGAAUGGGCACAAGGGAGGGGCUGGUUGGAGGUGGGAGGAACAACCCCCACCAAACCCAGAGCCGAAAACUGAGGGAGUUUUACAGACAGGACGGAGCUCCUGCACCUCGGAGCCUCAGUUGGGAAUGACCUGGGGUCUUGUCCUGAAGCUGAGUCUGGUGAACGUGCCCCAUUUGUAACAUGAGGGGUACUUCUCUGGAGGGACUGUAUGUUGACAGUGGCAGAGUGGAGCCCUGAAGUCCACCUGAGUGAAUAUACCAGGGCUUGAGAAUGGG
rnacentral:lncRNA from 10 species